rnacentral:rRNA from 1 species
CACGUAGUUAGCCGGGGCUUCUUAGUCAGGUACCGUCUUGUCUCGUUCCUGCUGAUAGAGCUUUACAUACCGAAAUACUUCUUCACUCACGCGGCGUCGCUGCAUCAGGGUUUCCCCCAUUGUGCAAUAUUCCCCACUGCUGCCUCCCGUAGGAGUUUGGGCCGUGUCUCAGUCCCAGUGUGGCCGUCCACCCUCUCAGGCCGGCUACUGAUCGUCGCUUUGGUAGGCCGUUACCCUGCCAACUGGCUAAUCAGACGCGGGUCCAUCCCAUACCACCGGAGUUUUUCACGCAGGAGCAUGCGCUCCCGUGCGCUUAUGCGGUAUUAGCACCUGUUUCCAGGUGGUAUCCCCCGGUAUGGGCAGGUUACCCACGCGUUACUCACCCGUCCGCCACUAGAUACUCAUUCCAAAGUGCAAGCACUCCUUCCAUAAGCAUCCCCGUUCGACCUUGCGAUCGUGUUAACGCUAACGGCCGCCAGCCGUUCGAUUACCCCUGACGCCGAGGACUACGAAAACUCUUACCG